UGGCGGUUGACGGCAACGU
rnacentral:snRNA from 1 species